GCCUACGGCCAUACCACCCUCAAAGCGCCCGAUCUAGUCUGAUCUCGGAAGCUAAGCAGGGACGGGCUUGGUUAGUACCUGAAUGGGAGACCGCCUGGGAAUACCAGGUGUUGUAGGCU
ensembl:rRNA 5S_rRNA 5S ribosomal RNA